rnacentral:sRNA from 1 species
UGACUUAUUCAUUGCAAACAGCUGCUCAA